ensembl:lncRNA
GUUGUUCCUGCGAGCGAGAGACGUGGCUCCGCUCUUUUACCGCUGUUAUCGAUAAUCCAAUACGAAUGAUCCCCGCCCCCAUGGCAAACACCAGCGGUCACGUGACCGGACCCCCACGCUUGUGACGAACGGAGGAUGCGUGAGACCAUCGAGCAGCCGCGCCCUCACCCCAUCUGGGAUCACACAGCCGCAGCACAUGCCUUCUGAUUGAUUUAUUCAAGAUUAAUUGUUGCUUUGUCGGCUCAUUGCUUCCAACCGGUUCGCGUCAGAUGUCUGUGCUUUGCACUACAUUUGAACGCGGUGCAAACAAAGGGUCCUCCGCUCGUCUCGUCGCCACGAUGCAGCUACAGGUCGGCGCCAUGAAUUAGGCCACCAAUAAAG